UGGGGAAUUUUGGACAAUGGGCGCAAGCCUGAUCCAGCCAUGCCGCGUGCGGGAAGAAGGCCUUCGGGUUGUAAACCGCUUUUGUCAGGGAAGAAAUCUUCUGAGUUAAUACCUCGGGAGGAUGACGGUACCUGAAGAAUAAGCACCGGCUAACUACGUGCCAGCAGCCGCGGUAAUACGUAGGGUGCAAGCGUUAAUCGGAAUUACUGGGCGUAAAGCGUGCGCAGGCGGUUUUGUAAGACAGAGGUGAAAUCCCCGGGCUCAACCUGGGAACUGCCUUUGUGACUGCAAGGCUUGAGUGCGGCAGAGGGGGGAUGGAAUUCCGCGUGUAGCAGUGAAAUGCGUAGAUAUGCGGAGGAACACCGAUGGCGAAGGCAAUCCCCUGGGCCUGCACUGACGCUCAUGCACGAAAGCGUGGGGAGCAAACAGGAUUAGAUAGCCCUGGUAGUCCACGCCCUAAACGAUGUCAACUGGUUGUUGGGAAGGUUCCUUCUCAGUAACGUAGCUAACGCGUGAAGUUGACCGCCUGGGGAGUACGGCCGCAACGGUUG
rnacentral:rRNA from 1 species